rnacentral:rRNA from 1 species
GUCGAGAAUCUUUCACAAUGGGGGCAACCCUGAUGGAGCGACGCCGCGUGGAGGAUAAGGUCUUCGGAUUGUAAACUCCUGUCAUGCGUGAACAAGGUUGCUUGGUUAAUACCUGGGCAAAUUGAUGGUAACGCAAGAGGAAGAGACGGCUAACUCUGUGCCAGCAGCCGCGGUAAUACAGAGGUCUCAAGCGUUGUUCGGAAUCACUGGGCGUAAAGGGUGCGUAGGUGGCGUGGUAAGUCAGAUGUGAAAGCCCGUGGCUCAACCUCGGAACUGCAUCCGAUACUGCCAUGCUAGAGUACUGGAGAGGUGACUAGAAUUCUCGGUGUAGCAGUGAAAUGCGUAGAUAUCGAGAGGAAUACCAAAGGCGUAGGCAGGUCACUGGACAGUUACUGACACUGAGGCACGAAGGCCAGGGGAGCGAACGGGAUUAGAAACCCGGGUAGUCC